rnacentral:rRNA from 1 species
GCACAAGCAGUGGAGUAUGUGGUUUAAUUCGAAGCAACGCGAAGAACCUUACCAGGUCUUGACAUCCGAUGCAUAGCACAGAGAUGUGUGAAAUCCUUCGGGACAUCGAGACAGGUGGUGCACGGUUGUCGUCAGCUCGUGUCGUGAGAUGUUGGGUUAAGUCCCGCAACGAGCGCAACCCUUAUUGCCAGUUACUACGUUAAGAGGACUCUGGCGAGACUGCCGUUGACAAAA